GAUAGCACCGAAUUUUGCCAAUUCGGCAGUUCGAUCUAUGAUUUCACAUUCAUGGACAUUGAUAAGAUCCUUCCAUUUAGUAGCACCUUAGGAUGGCAUAGCCUUAACGUUAAUGGCUAAGUUCAAAAGAGGAAAGGCUUGCAGUGGAUACCUAGGCACCCAUAGACGAGGAAGGGCGUAGCAAGCGACGAAAUGCUUCGGGGAGUUGAUUCUUCGAAUUCCUUAUGA
rnacentral:rRNA from 1 species